rnacentral:SRP_RNA from 1 species
GCCGGGUUCGGUGGCACUGCCGGUAGUCCUAGCUACUUGGGAGGCUGAGGUGGGAGGAUCGCUUGAGCCCAGGAGUUCUAGGCUGUCGUGUGCUAUGCCAAUCAGGUGUCCACACUAAGUUUGGCAUCAAUAUGGUGACCUUCUGGGAACAGAGGACCACCAGGUUUGUUACCUAAGGAAGGGUGAACCGGCCCAGGUCAGAAACGGAGCAGGUCAAAACUCCCCUGCUGAUCAGUAGUGGGAUUGUGCCUAUGAAUAGCCACUGCACUCUGCACUCCAGCCUGGGCAACAUGGCAAGACCCCGUCUCU